rnacentral:rRNA from 1 species
GACGAACGCUGGCGGCGUGCUUAACACAUGCAAGUCGAACGCUGAAGCUUGGUGCUUGCACUGGGUGGAAGAGUGGCGAACGGGUGAGUAAUACGUGAGUAACCUGCCCUUGACUCUGGGAUAAGCCUGGGAAACUGGGUCUAAUACUGGAUACGACAUGUCACCGCAUGGUGGUGUGUGGAAAGGGUUUUACUGGUUUUGGAUGGGCUCACGGCCUAUCAGCUUGUUGGUGGGGUAAUGGCUCACCAAGGCGACGACGGGUAGCCGGCCUGAGAGGGUGACCGGCCACACUGGGACUGAGACACGGCCCAGACUCCUACGGGAGGCAGCAGUGGGGAAUAUUGCACAAUGGGCGAAAGCCUGAUGCAGCGACGCCGCGUGAGGGAUGACGGCCUUCGGGUUGUAAACCUCUUUCAGCACGGAAGAAGCGAAAGUGACGGUACGUGCAGAAGAAGCGCCGGCUAACUACGUG